CUGGUGUCACUCUCGGAAGUUGUACAGUUCUUGAGGCUGCUGGAGAUGGUGCUCUCCCAAUACUUAACAAUGUUUUGGAAUCUGGCAUCUCAAAUGUGACAGACACUAAGAAAGUCAUCUGGCUUCACUUGGGGGUCAAUAGUGGUUCGACGAGGUUUGCUAUUGAAUGGCAAGCUGUGAAUGAAGCUACUUUCCGUUAUGCAGACGAACUCGGAUGGCAACCUCAGAGACUUCCAAUAGUCUCCGAGGAUGGGGAAAUCUCAAUGAUUAGAAAGACAUCCUGCUCGGCUCUGGCGAUCUUAGAGAAGUUGAAGGCGAAAAGCUACAAUGUGAUGUUAUCAGAG
rnacentral:misc_RNA from 1 species